rnacentral:snoRNA from 1 species
GUGAUGAGAUGUACGGUCUGGCGAACUGUGAACGAGAGACCGAUCGCUGA